ACCUGGGUCUUCACCUGGCUGAGGACUCUCUCUAAGUGUUUAAGGUCUCUCUCUCUCUCUCUCUCUCUCUCUCUCUCUCUCUAAGUGUUUAGGGUCUCUCUCUCUCUCUCUCUAAGUGUUUAAGGUCUCUCUCUCUCUCUCUCUCUCUCUCUCUCUCUAAGUGUUUAGGGUCUCUCUCUCUCUCUCUCUAAGUGUUUAAGGUCUGACUCUCUUUCUCUCUCUAAGUGUUUAAGGUCUGACUCUCUCUCUCUCUCUCUCUCUAAGUGUUUAAGGUCUCUCUCUCUCUGUCUCUCUCUCUCUCUAAGUGUUUAAGGUCUCUCUCUCUCUCUCUCUCUCUCUAAGUGUUUAGGGUCUCUCUCUCUCUCUAAGUGUUUAAGGUCUCUCUCUCUUUCUCUAAGUGUUUAAGGUGUGUCUCUCCCUCUCUCUCUAAGUGUUUAAGGUCUGAUUCUCUCUCUCUCUCUCUCUCUCUCUCUAAGUGUUUAAGGUCUCUCUCUCUCUCUCUCUCUCUCUAAGUGUUUAAGGUCUGUCUCUCUCUCUCUCUCUAAGUGUUUAAGGUCUGACUCUCUCUAAGUGUUUAAGGUAUCUCUCUCUCUCUCUCUCU
ensembl:lncRNA